ensembl:lncRNA novel transcript, sense intronic to EMP2
CAGCCUUCCAGGUCAGUGAGGGCACAGCAAAGGCCACUUCUUUGUCAUAGUAAACUCCGCCAGACGGGACCAGGAAGGGAAGUCUGUCGAGAUGAAAAUAUAUAAAUGUCCUUCCAGGCCAGAUGGGCUGGCGCUGGACUGCUGGCUGCUUGGCGAGUAUCUCCGGUGCUUAAUGAGUAGCUGCUAAAGUGAAUAAUUGAAUUCCUGGGGCCCUCAUCUUCCUUGGCAAGCUGGGCUUCUGUUGAUCUAAAAGGGACUGAGGAUGAAGAAGAGACUUCUCCGGUUCCUGCUCUUUAGGGACAGGCUAGAUGACAUCAGCUUCUAGAAGCUUCCUGGAACUCUGGGUCCAGAGCUGAGGGAGGGGUCACCAGGGUGAUAUUUGACACCAUGAUUGUCCUGAGAAAUCUAGGAUGCAAAAUCGCCAUCACCAUGCAG